GACGAACGCUGGCGGCGUGCCUUAUACAUGCAAGUCGAACGCAGUGGGGUCGGGUGAGUAACACGUUGGUAACCUCCCAUCAGAGGGGAUAACACUUGGCAACAGGUGCUAAACCGAUACUGAUGGAUGGAGCCGCGGUGCCUUAGCUAGUUGGUGAGGUAACGGCUCACCAAGGCCACGACGCAUAGCCGGUCUGAGAGGGUGACCGGCCAAACUGGGACUGAGACACGGCCCAGACUCCUACGGGAGGCAGCAGUAGGGAAUAUUCGGCAAUGGACGAAAGUCUGACCGAGCAACGCCGCGUGAGUGAAGAAGGUUUUCGGAUCGUAAAGCUCUGUUGUUAGAGAGGCGGUAUCUAACCAGAAAGCACCGGCUAACUACGUGCCAGCAGCCGCGGUAAUAC
rnacentral:rRNA from 1 species